CUCCAUCUCAAAAAAGAAAAAAGAGAAAAAAGAAAUGUAUAGGUAAACAAUAAAGUUAUAUUUUUGUACACUGUAUUUAAAAUAUUAGCAAUGCUGGGAAUUAAAGUGUUUGAUGUCUUCCUAAAAAACGUAUCAACAGGCAUUUGAACAAUGUUUGCCUUCUUCAAAAAUCAUGUACCUUAUGAUAUGAAGCAAGCUCCUUUGCUGUGUUUCAAAAACUUGUUGUGCCCCUUCUAAGUUUGGAUCAGUUUCCAAUAUUUUAUCCUUUCUGUUUUCAAUGUCACGAAAUAUCUCCAAGUCCCUUUAACGUGAAGCUUUUUGCUGACGUUCUUUUCUCUGGGACAUCUUCAUCUUUUUCAUCA